GACGAACGCUGGCGGCGUGCCUAACACAUGCAAGUCAACUUGACUGAAGGAGCAAUCUGACAGUAGAGUGGCGCAAGGGUGCGUAACGCGUAAGUAACUUGCCCCAAGGUAAGGAAUAACGUCGAGAAAUCGGCGCUAAUACCUCAUAAUGCAGCGGAUCCGCAUGGAUAUGUUGUUAAAGGUUUACCGCCUUGGGAUAGGCUUGCGUCUGAUUAGCUAGUUGGUGUGGUAACGGCACACCAAGGCUACGAUCAGUAACUGGUCUGAGAGGAUGAUCAGUCACACUGGAACUGAGACACGGUCCAGACUCCUACGGAGGCAGCAGUGAGGAAUAUUGGGCAAUGCUCGAAAGAGUGACCCAGGC
rnacentral:rRNA from 1 species